CACUUCCUUUGUGGACAGGAAGAAGGUUUUAUUCUACCAUUUUGUAGGCAAUCCUGACAUCUGUUGCAGUUCACAAGUCUUGAUUUUCCCGAGAAAGCAAUAUAUGUUCUUGGGGACCUGGCAGGUGUGGCCGCAGCCGUUGGAGCAGCAUUUCUUGACGGCCGAGCACUCGCCGUCCUCCUCGCAGCUCUCCACGCAGGCCGCCGCGAAGCCGCUGGCCUUCUCCGGGGCGGGACAGUCGCCCUGCUUCACGCCCUCGAUGGACUUGAGGAACUCGCAGCUGACGCGCGACACGACCGGCGAAGAAGCCUAAACUGCAGCCGUCCCGCAGCCUUUUCACCUCCUCUCCUGUGGCCUUGUCUUUGCUUUUUUUUUUUUUUUUUUUUUCUUGCCGUGGGGGGUUUCCACUUUCUGCCACCCACCAUGUGAAUAAUGAGCUCCACAGAUAGCAGCCAAUGAAGCGACCCCCCCUUUGGCCAAUGAAACUUAACAACCAUGUCCAGAUCAGCUCCUUCCUGCUGGGACUGACCAGCCCUACUUUACGCUCCUCUGCCCACCCACACACACACACAACUGAAUCCAAGGAGGAUUCACACUGCAGGUGGAAAGUGCCCAAUUUUGACUCAAUGCCUACAUCCAAUUUUUUUUUCCAUGUACACUUUGGACCAGUUCCAGUACGACUGUGUUUUCACCAAUUGCACAUUGAUAACACAUUUACUACACAGUAAUACACGCUGUAUUGAGCUCAAAUAUUAAACACAACGUAAUCAUUAGUUGGUCCAUGCUGACUCUUCCUACAUUGAUUUAAAUGAGGUUUACUUCCGCACUAGCCGCUUAUCCUCACACGGGUCACAGGAUUGUUGGAGCCUAUCCCGGCCAUCUUCGGCCAAUUUUCCUGAUUUAACAAAGCGCAUACCUCUGAUGUCGCACAUUUAGACCAAGUUUAAUUCUCGACAGUACGUCACCCACGUGCGGUAGUUCUCAUCGCAAUACAACAAACAGUUUAUUUCCAGUUUGGCUGUGUUUUCACCAAUUGCACAUUAAUAACACAUUUACGAAACAGUCAUACACGCUCUUUUGAGCGCAAAUAUUAACAUAUCAUCAUGAGUUGGUCCGUGCUGACUCUUCCUACAUUGAUUUACAUGAGAUUUACUUCCACACUAGCCGCUUAUCCUCACAAGUGUCACGGGAGUGUGGGAGCCUAUCCCAGCUAUCUUCGGCCAAUUUUCCUUAUUAAAUACAGUGCAUACCUCUAAUGUCUCACAUUUAGGCCACGUUUAAUUCUCGACUAUACAGUAAUACACAUUGUAUUGAGCACAAAUAUUGAACAUAACGUCAUCAUUAGUUGGUCCAUGCUGACUUUUCCUACAUCGAUUUAAAUGAGGUACAUGACUCCACUGGCGGCUGUCAACUCCUAUUUUCCUUAAUAAAGCGCAUACCUCUAAUGUCGCACAUUCAAUUCUCUACAGUACGUGACCCGCAUG